rnacentral:rRNA from 1 species
CCUACGGGCGGCAGCAGUGGGGAAUAUUGCGCAAUGGGCGCAAGCCUGAACCAGCCAAGUCGCGUGAAGGAUGACUGCCCUAUGGGUUGUAAACUUCUUUUAUAUGGGAAUAAAAUGUUCCACGUGUGGGAUUUUGUAUGUACCAUAUGAAUAAUGAUCGGCUAACUCCGUGCCAGCAGCAGCGGUAAUACGGAGGAUCCGAUCGUUAUCCGGAUUUAUUUGGUUUAAAGGGAGCGUCGGUGGAUUGUUAAGUCAGUUGUGAAAGUUUGCGGCUCAACCGUAAAAUUGCGGUUGAUACUGGCAGGCUUGAGUACAGUAGAGGUGGGCAGAAUUCGUGGUGUAGCGGUGAAAUGCUUAGAUAUCACGAAGAACUCCGAUGGCGAAGGCAGCUCACUGGACUACAACUGACACUGAGGCUCGAAAGUGUGGGUAUCAAACAGGAUUAGAUACCCUGGUAGUC